UAGUUUUUAUAAGCUAUCCCUUAAAAAAAAAAAUGUAUUGUUGCAAGCAAACCCAAAAUAUUGUUGAAUUAAAGCCAAAAUUACUAAAUUAAACUUAAAAUUUCAGUAGCCAACAAUUAACAAAGUAGAAGGUAAAGUUUUCCAUUUUAAUACAAGCACAACAUCGGCCUAACACCCUGCCUUAGCCUCGGCCCAAAGAAACAAUCUGGGGCCAGCGGUGCAAGUUGGGUUUAGGCCGAGGAUGUCGUCCAGGCCCAAGUCGCAUCAACCCCACACUUCGGUACAUUUUUAUGAUUUUAUCCCUUAAAUACGGUUUUUAAAACCUGUGACUCUACAGAAGUACAGAUUAUCAAUUGGACAAUGUUGCCCCACAAGUUUUCCUCUUCUGAAUCUGAGCUUGUUAUAGUUUCGUGUGGAAUUCAGCAAACCGCCGGAAUCGAAAUCACCUGCACUCAUCAAGUAUCAUGCCAAGCGAGCAAUUUUCAUUUUCAAUCCAAACAAUAUCUUAGAUAAAUUGUAAAAUAUAAUCAUAAUUGGGAAAAAAAAAAAAAGAGUCAGAAAUCUCGUGUGGAUAGUGCCGCUCAUAGCACCAUUAAACGCAAUGGUGCUGCGUUCGCACGAUGAUAUCAUCACUCUCUUUCUCUAAAAUUGAAAUGAAGAAAAAAAAAGAAGUUAAGCCACACAAAAAAUUUCGUACCCCUUGAGCUCCAUGAGAAAAUCUCUUCAGCCAAGCAAAACUAUCAUAGGAGGGCCGUUUUAUAGGGCGCUUAUCUGGUUGCCCUAAUUUACACAGCCCGAUCGUCUCGAUAGGGGUCGGCGAAUGAAUGAAACGACGCCGUUAAUUAAGCGGGUAACUUAAAAUACCCUGUGUUCGCGUUUUCUUUGGGCGUGCAAACCCAAACUGAAGCCCAAGACGUAUUUAUACUCAAUUGCUAAAAAGUCCCCGUUUCAGAAAUUAAUAUUGCAAAAGAGCCUCCAACCCCGUCAAACCCAUUAACCCAGCCUGCCAACAAGUCCCAAUGUGUAAAAUAAAUUUAAUAUCCG
rnacentral:lncRNA from 1 species